rnacentral:rRNA from 1 species
UGGGGAAUAUUGGACAAUGGGCGAAAGCCUGAUCCAGCCAUGCCGCGUGAGUGACGAAGGCCUUAGGGUUGUAAAACUCUUUCGUCGGGGACGAUGAUGACGGUACCCGAAGAAGAAGCUCCGGCUAACUUCGUGCCAGCAGCCGCGGUAAUACGAAGGGAGCUAGCGUUGUUCGGAAUCACUGGGCGUAAAGCGCACGUAGGCGGAUAGUUAAGUCAGGGGUGAAAUCCUGGGGCUCAACCCCAGAACUGCCUUUGAUACUGGCAAUCUCGAGUCCGGAAGAGGUUAGUGGAAUUCCCAGUGUAGAGGUGAAAUUCGUAGAUAUUGGGAAGAACACCAGUGGCGAAGGCGGCUAACUGGUCCGGUACUGACGCUGAGGUGCGAAAGCGUGGGGAGCAAACAGGAUUAGAUACCCAUGUAGUCCCUGAG